CACCCGCGUAACGCGCUAACUCGGUUUCGAGGCUAUUAGCCUCGCGGUCGCGUGUUGCCGCUCAUAUUGCUCACGACAAUAAGUGCAUAGAGUUACAUAGUAAAGGACACGAGUGGACACUCGAGCCGUUUCGCGGGCGAGCUAUGGAGCUUCGCCGAUUCCGCUACGUGGCAGAGCACAUCAAGAAAAAUGUGGCUGCGGCUAGCAGCUUGCCAGAUGGCACGACCCAACACAUGCGAAGACUAGUCAGGCCCCGUUGCUGGACUCUUUCUGCAAAAUACGCCGGAGGAUCGUUAUUCGUUUCUUCUGCCAGCGUCUGGCAUUACUGCUUUAUCGCCGUUUCAUGAUUGCUGUUUUCGGCUCAUCGUCGUCACCGUCUAGCACGUGUGCUACGUCUACAUCUCAAUCGAAUUUCCUGCUGGAUCCACCGCCACAAGCAGCUCACAAAAGCCUUGAUUAUCUGAGCAUCGAAGACGUCAUCAUCUUCACGCCGGUCUCAAGCGGGACACGGACACUGCCGCCAGCGGCACCACUGCAGCGCUCAGAUUUAAGCAACUGGCAUCAGCAAGGCGCUUCCAGUGGGCACGGGAGAGCAGCUGCCAUGCGGUAGCUGCUAAGCUCUCCUUUCUGCUUUCUUGUGCAGAUCACAACUGCAAGGAACUGCCGGCAAGAAGACUUCAUCUACCCAGGCUGCGCCACUUAUCGCCCCAAGAAAAAGCAUCUUGACAGUGGCCGUGUCUGCCGCCUACCGUCUACCGCAGCGCGCCUGCGCGGGACCCCAAGCCCCUUGGUUUAAAAGCCCUGCAAGAAGCACGUUCGCAUCAGUUGGCAGCAGCGGUUACGGCUACGUGCACGCAUACUGAACCACUUCUUUCCGCCUGUGCAGAGUUUGGACUCGACUUUUGGCGAGGAUGUCGAUCCACCUUGGGCCUGGUGGCAGCACGCUUGACAUAGGCAAAGUGCAGCCUCUCAGUUGAGUGCUCCCAAAUAGACCAUCAACAUCAGAAAAUGAAGCAGAGCCGAAUACUGCCGGCUUCCAUUUGGAAAACCAGGCAGAUAAGAAGGAAUCUGGAGUGGCUGAGUUGACCACGCUUUGCGGAAGAGCGUUCCAUUCGCGGAUUGUCUUGGGCAGGAAGGAAUAAAGAUAUGCGUUUGUUCAAGCACGCGGCAAUAAUAUUGUUUGAUUGUGCUUAUCUCUGCUCAGUCGCGAUUUGUUAAAUUGCAUGUAGUUGUCAAAUCUCAUUUUAGUGUGGUUGUUAACUAUGUUAUACAUUGCUUGUAGACGGUGCAUUUUGCGACGAGUUUCUAGUGUCUGGAGCCCAGAUCGCAACCUUAAAGAGGUGACUGAAAUGUGCCAAUUUUAAGCAUUGUAGAUAAAUCUAAGAGCUUUUUUUGUACUCUUUCGAUAAUGUCUAUACCAGUCUUUGUGUGAGGGUCCCAGACUAUAUCGGCAUACUCGAGUGUUGGCCUAAUAAUUGUCUUAUAUGCGGUUAAUUUGGUAGCACUAGUGCAGUUUUUUAAACGGUGCUUCAAUAACCAUAACUUUUCAUUACUGCCACGGAAACAUACCUAACGUGAGGGGCAUAGCUCAUCUUGGAAUCAAUUGUAAUUCCAAGAUAUGUGAAUUCCUCUACCUGUUUAAUGUCCAUAUUAUUUACCAUGUAAGUGCAACUUAGCGGAUUUUUUUUACGUGUAAUAACCAUGUGCGCGCAUUUCGAGAUGUUUAGGGUCAUGUGCCACUGGAUACACCAGUCGUGUAUUGCUAUUAGAUAGUCAGUUAAGCUAGAUUGGUCAUCCACAGAUUGAAUGCUCGAAUAAAGAAUACAAUCGUCCACAAAAAAGCGGCACCGCACGGAAAAUUUGCAAGCCAGGUCAUUUAGGUAGAUAAGAAAAAGAAGUGGCCCUAAAACCGAGCCCUGUGGAACGCCCGAAAGUACAGAGGCAAGCGAUGAAUUCGAAGCACCUAUGCUGACAAAUUGUUUUCGAUGCGUCAAGUACGAAUCAAGGCAACGCAAAAUUUGUUCGUUGCGUAUGAUGCUGUUUAGCUGUAUCAUCAUUUUUUGUGUGAAAUCCGAUCGAAGGCUUUCUCGAAAUCUAAAAAAAGAAUGUCUACCUACCCACCUUGAUCCAAGAUUGCCAGUAUUUCGUUCGUCAUAUUGUAACGAUGUUAGUAAAAAAGGAUAUUUAUUAAACGCGAACUUGUGCCCACAAGUAAAAGUCACUGAGGUCGUGCAGAAAACCGCGGCAGUCGCGUUCUCAAGCUGGGCUCGAACCGUCUUCCUCUUCUCCUCGCGUAACACCUCGUGCGCGUGGCGCAUGCGAGCCGGGUCCAACUGGCUGCCCGUGCCACGAAGAUCGCUGCCUGUUGUUGCCGAACAGCGCCACUGUAAGGCAUGCACAGUGCCCAAUGCAAAGGGCGCGCAACUUGAAUGUCACCAAGUUUGUCGUGGCAUUAUCCCCCUCCUUACCGCAUCGGCCCGAUGCGUGAGAGGAAGUAGGGGUUCCUGUGGGCGCUCACUUUUUUUGUUGUUGUUACUGUUGUUCAUGACCUCUCCUGGUAGGGUUUCAUGCGGACAACAUGCACAACUUCCGUGGAGUUGCGCCGUCUUGGGCUCUCGUGUCCAGCGGAUUUCACUUCGUAAGUGACGUCGCUUAUACGACGAAGUAUUUCGUAAGGGCCGAAGUAUCUGCACAGAAGCUUUUCAGACAGUCCACGGUGUCGCACUGGGGUCCAUACCCACACCUUGUCACCGGGCUGGUAAUGAGCUUCACGGCGGCGCUGGUUGUACCGGCUGGAGUCGAUGCGUUGUUGGCGGCGUAUUCGGUACCUUGCUAGCUGUCGUGCCUCCUCGGCUCGUUGCAAGAAAUCAUCCAGGUCAGAUGAGUUAUGGGUUUCUUCAUCUAACGGCAACAUAGCAUCCAAAGUUGUGGAUACUGCUCGGCCGAAUACAAGUUCAAACGGGGUGACUCGUGUUGUUUCCUGAACGGCCGUAUUAUAUGCGAAG